AGCCUGGAAACCAUGGCAGCAGCAGGAAGUUCCGGCUGUUUUAAAGUUGCGGUUCCGGUGUUCAAAAUGCCAAGGAUGAUGGGAAACUUGAGCUUGUUUAUCGGUUUGUACGGAACGCCACCCACCGUUCGGAAGCCAGAAUAUGCUUGAUAGAAGCAGUAUGGUGAAGGGGAAGAAUGCCUCGGGAGCCCAUGCUGAGGAUCCCUUUACCGAGGAAAACAUCUGACCCCGUGAGGUGCUAGAUCCUGGAUACCUGAGACACAUCAACUUCUCAGGUUUGGAAUGCACAAUGAUGAGACACAAAAACAUAAACAUCUCCAGAAAGAAGCUAUGACUGGAACACAGAGGACUACUAGAUUAAGUGGAAACAAUGCCCAGGCAUCCCAGUGCCCCCACUGAUGGUCCAGCUAUCAUCAAGAUGGUGACGAGUUACAUAUGACCUGGAGGAGGACUGUGCAGAGUACCUUCUAGCACCAUAAACACUAAUCAGUGAGCAAUGCUGAACUUCUAAUUAGGCAAGAGCUCAACCUCUUCAUGCUUGAGGACAUAAGCAUAUGCACACAUAUGAUAUACGACAUAUUCAAAUGCACACACAGACAAAGUAAACCUUACAAAACGUACUAAUCUGAGUGGAAACAGUGACAACAGGAGCCAGCCUUCUAUCACCACUUUGAGCCAGAGUUCAGGAUCAAGCUCAGAAGCUCACAGCUGCCAGCAGCACACUACUACUGCACUGUCUCCUUAGUCCAUGCUCACUCUUAAAUAGCCACAAAACACUCAGUGGUAUGGCAAAGGAAACCUCCAUUUCAUUUAGAUGUUUAUGAUAAUUUUUCCCACUUUAAUUAUUUUAUGUAGUUGAAUAUGAUUUUUUUUCCUAAGGAAUUUUUUUAUCUCAAUGUAAGACUCUUGAACCUUUAUGUUAUAUAUAAUUUCCUGUAGUUUUCAAAAUUGCUUUAAUAAAAAAGUUUAACUUUAAA
ensembl:lncRNA LOC100912991 uncharacterized LOC100912991